CUUGGUAGUUUAAGAGGUUGGGGUACACCUGUUCCCAUCCCGAACACAGCAGUUAAGCCGGCCUUCGCCGAUGAUACUAUAGCUUGUCUAUGGAAAAGUAGGGCGCUGCCAAGA
rnacentral:rRNA from 3 species